rnacentral:rRNA from 1 species
AUUGAACGCUGGCGGCAGGCUUAACACAUGCAAGUCGAGCGGGGGAAGGUAGCUUGCUACCGGACCUAGCGGCGGACGGGUGAGUAAUGCUUAGGAAUCUGCCUAUUAGUGGGGGACAACAUCUCGAAAGGGAUGCUAAUACCGCAUACGUCCUACGGGAGAAAGCAGGGGAUCUUCGGACCUUGCGCUAAUAGACGAGCCUAAGUCGGAGUAGCUAGUUGGUGGGGUAAAGGCCUACCAAGGCGACGAUCUGUAGCGGGUCUGAGAGGAUGAUCCGCCACACUGGGACUGAGACACGGCCCAGACUCCUACGGGAGGCAGCAGUGGGGAAUAUUGGACAAUGGGGGGAACCCUGAUCCAGCCAUGCCGCGUGUGUGAAGAAGGCCUUAUGGUUGUAAAGCACUUUAAGCGAGGAGGAGGCUACUCUAGUUAAUACCUAGGGAUAGUGGACGUUACUCGCAGAAUAAGCACCGGCUAACUCUGUGCCAGCCGCCGCGGUAA